ACGAAGGGAACAGAACGCUGCUCGGCCUUGGCAUCUUCCCUCCUCCCUUCAACACAAUGCAACUCUUAAUUAAACACGGGGACACCCACGCCUCCCUUCCCAUAGGACCCCUUCCAUCUGCUCCCCCCACUCCGAACGAAAUACCAGCCUUUUCUAGGCAGGGAAAACCUGGUGUUGAACUUCCCAAUUAGCGAGACACAACGCCAAAAAAAAAAAAAGAGACUGUAAAGAGCCGUUAUCACUCCUAUUUUUGGACCCUCCUUUCUAGGCCUUACCCAUUAAAUGUUUUGGUGGCCUUAGCAUGACUUUAAAAUCCUGCAGGGCUGAGGACGUAUGUAUGUAGACACUCCACAUCUUGAGAAGCUCGAUUUGUGUUUUUCUGAUUGAUGGGUGAGGUUUAACACACUAGUGCAAAAGAAAUACCAAGUUAUGGAUUGAUUCGAAUAAUUUUUCAUCUUUGUAAAGUCUUCAUUAGUAACUUUUCACCAGAGGUUCUAAGAGCUUCAAGAAAACUCAACGUUUUCAGAUUGAUCCAAAGGGGAUGGACAUGAACCCUGCAUUUCUCUUUUCUGCAUUUCUGGCCAGACCAAGUGGGAGUAGGUGAUUUGGGAGUAGUGGAGAGUGGUGGAAUCUGGGGCUGAGGAUCUCCCGAUGCAGAUGCUGCCGGAGGGAAGUGGUGCCUGGGGAAGGGGAGCAGGGCGGUGGUCAGAUUCCCUGAGAGUCAGAAAAUAGGGGGCCGUCAAGUCACAGGUGUGGGACCGAGUCAGAAGGUGGAGGAAUCAUGAAGACAGAAGGGAGGGUGAUAAUCACUGAGGCAAAAACUGGAGAAUCCUGUAAUCCGAAGGUGGAGUAUCCUAGAGUCAGAAGGUGGGAGGGGGUCGCAGAGCCAGAAUGUGGCGUUACAGAAAUAUUAGAGUAGCUACCUUCGGAUGACCCCUUACCAGGGACUGAGGAACCUGAGGGCACAGGCGGCCAAGACCCCAUGAACACCCCAGCGGGCAGAUUCAGAUCUCAGGCUGGUGUUGCAGCCUCCGCAUGCUUGCCUUCCCCCCACCCCCAAUCAUUCCACUUCUCGGGGCCAGUGUUUCCUGAGGUUCGCCAGCAAGAAUCCACCCAGCAAUCAUCUCCCCUCUCGCGCGCAUGGGGGGACAUUAACCACGAACGCGCUGGAGAAGAAAGGUACAGAUGGGUCUUUUAUUGCACACUUGGAAAUGUUUCCAAGGCUUUUGUUUUCUUCCCCCAUUCAUUCCUGCCGUAUCACUAGGAUCUGCCAACUUCAGUGCCCAGAGGCUGCGGCUGAAGGGCCCGGCCCACCCGGAGACCCCGCUAGGGGGCGCGCUCUGGCCGUGGCGCCGAGCCGAGCCGAGCCCGACAGGGGGGCUCCCCUGAGAGUACGCCGACUGCCGGGGUCGGCUGGGCCUCCGGACUGACGCCGGCAUUGGGUCCCUCGCUGCUCCUUUACGUGAACUCCCACCCAUGCCCUCCGCUCACCCGCCCCCCACGUCCGGGGACGCCAGGAACAGCUACAGAGUAACGCUGGCUGCACCCGGGACGCCUCGACCCUGGACGCACUCAGGGUCCCGCAGUCCGGCGGCAUUGGAGAGGAGAAACCUGAUGGUGAUGAUUACAGGGCGCCGAGAAGUUUCCCUCUCUGGUCUGGAAACCUGGGGAAUGGUGCGGCAGGAGAUGGGAGGGGCUCCCGCCGAGGGACUCAGGCCCACUCCUUGCGUGUGCGGAGCCGACUCUGAAGUCACGGAGCCACCCAGCAGCCGGGUCUUGUGGAUUUCCGACGCAGGGCCCUCCCGUGAGGGAAAAGUGCCUCUGUUUCUCCCAGCGACUAGCCGCUGGGACGCCCGCGAGGGUCCGCGGCUGGAGGCUUGGAGGAAACCGACGCGUCUUUACAGCUGCGUCCAGACCCGCUUCCCAGGAGUGGGCUCUCGCGGCUGGGGAGGGAAUCGGCGGCCGAAUGUUAACCGAAAGCUGAAUGGGACGGUAUCAAAACGCCGAACUGUUGAUGAGGAUGGAAAAAGGAGGAAUGCAGGAAAGGCAGAAUAUCCCAGGUGCCUUGGACCAGCAGGCAGGGCUUAAAAGAAAAUCAAAUGUCAGAGAUAGCUCAGGGACUCCUCCGUUCCCGGGUCCGAACAUCCAAGUGUCAGAAAAACUGGUGAGAAUCAAGCUAAAAGACAGAAAGAGAGAAGGACACAGAGAGACAUAUUUUUCCUCUUGCCUUAAUAGUAGUAGUAAUAUCAGCAUUAGUAUUAACAAUAUUAAUAUACCCAUUCCCAACCCUUCAUCCUCCUCAAGUCGUAUCCUGAAUGCUCCAGCCAAGCCAGCUCAAUCUGUCGGCCGCCUGCCCACCCGCAUCCAAGAGUUAUGCAGAUGUUUAUGGCUGGAAAAAAAAAAAUCCCAGUUAUGCAUUCUUGUAUUUUUAAAUACUGACUGUAAGUGAUUCAAGUAUAAUCCUUUGUAAAACGCUUUUCUCUUUGACAUAUUGAAGGGGGUUGAGAGAGGAAAACCCGGCGUGGAUUCCCCCUCGCCGGUCCCUGUCCCACCCUCCACCCUUGCCCCCACCCUGCCAGCGUCGGGGCCCCUGGCAGUCCCUUGAGCCCAGCACCCAGAAAAAGUGGGCGUUCGUGCCAAACCCUCGCACUGGCUUGGCCCAACUUCAGUCACAAUUGGUCUCGAUUCUCAGUGCUGGACGCGCAGUAAGUUGUUUGGGAAGAAACGCGUUCGUUCAAUCAUAGGCUCACUCUCUUACCUUUCCUAAUGGGAGCCGGGCCCUAAGAAUUCAGAAAUGUAGGCGCUCAGACUUGGUAGCAGCCGAACCUGGGUCUUUCCCACCCUGGAGCACUCAGGGCCCCCACAGUUCCGCUCCUUGCAUGAGAUUUGGGAGCGUCCGACCUCGGGGUGACAGCCUAACUAGUGGAAGCGAACUUGCGGAAAGAAGAGAGAAGCGAGUCUGGGGAGAAGAGGGAGACUCCCAGACCCCGCAGUCGACACUCGCCUGUCCCCUUUUGCCCUGUAACUGCUCUAGUGAAGGCCGCGCUCCACUGGCCGAGCUUUGUCUUGAAGCGGACUUUUCCCAGAGUUAAAGACGGAGGUAAGAGAGGUCGGGGGACGCUGCAAACCAGAGAGCAGCCUCCCGGCUCCGGGUGAAGACUAACUGCUCAAGGCGUUGGGCCACAAGACAAAAGUGAGCGUUCAAACAGCGGUUGUUUGCUGGCGGCCAUCCCCCUGACACCUCGGAGGCUCGUCCGGCCUAAAGAGGACGGCGACUGGGCGCCACUGAGGUCGAGGCGCUGUCCUGCGACCGCAAUCCUGGCUUUGAAAAGUACCAAGUCAGUCUGAACGCGAGCCUCCAGGCCUCGCCUCCAGGAAGCAAGGUCCCCUGGUUGGUGGAAGGGGCGCACGGCGCCCAAGGGGCACCCACAGGCCUGACAUCAGAAUAAGCUAGAGCUUCGGGCCAGUCUUGAAGGGUUAAAGGGGAAGCUGCGGGACGAAGAUGGAUAAGUUAGAAAGUUGUUAGUUAAAAACAAAAAA